rnacentral:sRNA from 2 species
UUGAAACUGAAGCUAAUCAUCCUCAUUGCUUUCAAUCAAAUAGAACACUGGUGAUCAACAAAAUAUACAAAACUCUUUAUUUUGAUGGAAAAGGAUAUUUUCAUCCACCUCUAUGCGUGGAAAAGCCGCAUACCCAUGAAACCUGUUAUAUGAUGCUCUAUCAAGGGUCCCGCGAAAUAAGAACCCCAAUUCCAUGAGUUAUAUAUACUCUUCGGACAUUUCUCUUAAGAGCUCUGAUAAACUGCAGAUUGUUCACCAUAUUCUGAUGGAACAUGUGCCAGAGUGGACCAUACAACAAGUCAAUUCAGAAGGUUUUUCUCACAACUCGUGGCUCACACCAAGAGAUCGUGGAAUGAAUGAUCGUCUUUGAAAGCCACAUGUAUAAAAAAAGAUAUUUUGCUGCUAGAUUUAUAUUCUAGAAAUAUCAUCAUGACGAAGCAGCC